GACGAACCGAGCGAACGUUGUUCGGAAUCACUGGGCUUAAAGGGCGCGUAGGCGGACUGCCAAGUCCGGGGUGAAAUCUUUCGGCUCAACCGGAAAAGUGCCUCGGAUACUGGCGGUCUCGAGCGAGGUAGGGGCAGGCGGAACUUCCGGUGGAGCGGUGAAAUGCGUUGAUAUCGGAAGGAACUCCGGUGGCGAAGGCGGCCUGCUGGACCUCUCCUGACGCUGAGGCGCGAAAGCUAGGGGAGCAAACGGG
rnacentral:rRNA from 1 species